UACGUAGGUGGCAAGCGUUGUCCGGAUUUACUGGGUGUAAAGGGCGUGCAGCCGGAGAGACAAGUCAGAUGUGAAAUCCACGGGCUCAACCCGUGAACUGCAUUUGAACUGUUUCCCUUGAGUGUCGGAGAGGUAAUCGGAAUUCCUUGUGUAGCGGUGAAAUGCGUAGAUAUAAGGAAGAACACCAGUGGCGAAGGCGGAUUACUGGACGAUAACUGACGCUGAAGCACGAAAGCGUGGGUA
rnacentral:rRNA from 1 species